UACAGAGGUCUCAAGCGUUUGUUCGGAUUCAUUGGGCGUAAAGGGUGCGUAGGCGGCGCGGUAAGUCGGGUGUGAAAUCUUGGAGCUUAACUCCGAAACUGCAUUCGAUACUGCCGUGCUUGAGGACUGGAGAGGAGACUGGAAUUUACGGUGUAGCGGUGAAAUGCGUAGAUAUCGAUAAGGAAGACCAGUGGCGAAGGCGGGUCUCUGGACAGUUCCUGACGCUGGAGGCACGGAAGGCCCAGGGGAGCAAACGGG
rnacentral:rRNA from 1 species